CAAUAGCGUAUAUUAAAGUUGUUGCAGUUAAAAAGCUCGUAGUUGAAUUUUUGCUUGCCGCCGAUGUCGGAACUUCCGUACGUUCGGCGGCGUGCAUCCUUGGGUGGAACCUGUGUGGCAUUAGGUUGUCGUGCAGGGGAUGCUCAUCGUUUACUGUGAAAAGAUUAGAGUGUUCAAAGCAGGCUUACGCCGUUGAAUAUAUUAGCAUGGAAUAAUAAGAUAGGACCUUGGUACUAUUUUGUUGGUUUGCGCACCGAGGUAAUGAUUAACAGGGACAGUUGGGGGUAUUCAUAUUCCAUUGUCAGAGGUGAAAUUCUUGGAUUUCUGGAAGACGAACUACUGCGAAAGCAUUUACCAAGGAUGUUUUCAUUAA
rnacentral:rRNA from 1 species